GAAAUGCGAUAAGUAAUGUGAAUUGCAGAAUUCAGUGAAUCAUCGAAUCUUUGAACGCACAUUGCGCCCGCCAGUAUUCUGGCGGGCAUGCCUGUUCGAGCGUCAUUUCAACCAUCAAGCCCCCGGCUUGUGUUGGGGACCUGCGGCUGCCCGCAGGCCCUGAAAACCAGUGGCGGGCUCGCUGUCACACCGAGCGUAGUAGCAUACAUCUCGCUCAGGGCGUGCUGCGGGUUCCGGCCGUUAAAAGCCUUUUUUACCCAAGGUUGACCUCGGAUCAGGUAGGAAGACCCGCCGAACUUAAGC
rnacentral:misc_RNA from 1 species